AGCGAACGCUGGCGGCGUGCCUAACACAUGCAAGUCGAACGUGAACGGGGGCAACCCUUAGUAAAGUGGCGUACGGGUGAGUAACACGUAGGUAAUCUACCCUAGAAUCUGGAAUAACCGGCCGAAAGGCUGGCUAAUACUGGAUAGAGCGACGGAACCCGUAAUCGGGUUUUUCGGGAAAGGGAGCUCGCAAGAGCCUUCGUUCUAGGAUGAGCCUGCGUCCCAUUAGGUAGUUGGUGAGGUAAUGGCUCUCCAAGCCGAUGAUGGGUAGCUGGUCUGAGAGGAUGAUCCGCCACACUGGAACUUAAACACGGUCCAGACUCCUACGGGAGGCAGCAGUGGGGAAUCUUGCGCAAUGGACGAAAGUCUGACGCAGCCACGCCGCGUGAGUGAAGAAGGCCUUCGGGUUGUAAAGCUCUGUCGGCCGGGACAAAAAUACUUGGAGUUAAUAGCUCCAGGGACUGACGGUACCGGCAAAGGAAGCACCGGCUAACUCUGUGCCAGCCGCCGCGGUAA
rnacentral:rRNA from 1 species